rnacentral:snRNA from 1 species
GUUCUUUCUAACAGCUUUGCACU